rnacentral:rRNA from 1 species
UACGGAGGGUGCGAGCGUUGUCCGGAAUCACUGGGCGUAAAGGGCGCGUAGGCGGCCUGAUAAGUAGGGGGUGAAAUCCUGCGGCUUAACCGCAGGGCUGCCUUCUAAACUGUCAGGCUAGAGCACGGUAGAGGCAGAUGGAAUUCCCGGUGUAGCGGUGGAAUGCGUAGAGAUCGGGAAGAACAUCAGUGGCGAAGGCGGUCUGCUGGGCCGUUGCUGACGCUGAGGCGCGACAGCGUGGGGAGCAAACGGG